ACCAAACUCGAUGUCCUCGCUACAGCCACCCCACUUCCAGCCCUUGCCUGGUGGAGCUCCCUGCCAGGCUGAGAAAACCCUGGAGCAGGCCUUCAAUUCACUCGUGAAGACUGAAGACAAGAAGUCUCUGCAGAGAGGCUCAGAUCCCAGGACAGACACCCCCAUCCGAGGCUGAAGUAGAAGCUGCAGGCUGCAAGACCACAGGCCAGAAAAGCGUGAGACCCUAUGUUCUGGCAAAGAGAGCCUGCAUUAAAGUUGAAGCCACAAGGUCUCUAAGCGGUUCCGCAACUGCUCACAGUGUUUAUCAAGCACAAUGGGAAAAACCUUAACUGUGCACAGGAGAAGCCUGGCAGACACCACCUUAUUCUGGGGACUGAGUUAACCUUGCCUGAAAUGGGACACACAAUACCUUGUGGCUCCAGGGAUGAUGCAUGAAGGCCAAAUAUAGCCUUUGAGGUAUUCUCACCCAAAAUGCACAGCCUGCAUCUAAUUGUCGGGAGACAUCAGACCAACCCAAAUUGAUGGCUGUUCUGCAAAAUGCCUAAUUGUGCUCCUCAGAGGUCUCAGGGGCAUGAGGGACAGGGAAGAGUGGAGAAGCCAGAGGCAUGGCAUCACCAAAAGUAACAAGGGACCCAGGAGGGGGUUCUGGGACAGAAAAGGGAUCUUGAUAGAAAAACGAAGGAAAGCUGAGUGACGUCCAGAGUGUGGUGAAUAGAACACAUUUAGUUUUGAACAAUUGGCAUAGUUAUGCACCACUGGGUUGGACGAGGGGACCCAGGACUCUCAGUGCCACUCCUGCGAUGUUUAUGAAAGUCUGAAAUUAUUUCAAAAUAAAAAGUUAAACCUGGGCAACAUAGCAAGACCCCCUUUCUUAAAAAACAAACAAACAUAAAUGAGCUGGGCAUGGUGGUGUGCAUCUGUAGUCCUAGCUACUUGGGACGCUGAGGCAGGAGGAUUGCUUGAG
rnacentral:lncRNA from 1 species